GUCAGUUAGGAUAUUUUGUCAGUUGUCAGUCAAAAAUUCAGGCAAAUGUCUGUAGUCAGUUAACCCCAUUCAGACCCUCUUAUGUAGUGGCAUGACUCUGCUGACAGGCAUACUCUGGGAACGAGAUUGAUUGUAAGCCUGAAUGAAUCCAAUUUUCACAUGACCAUGCAUGUGGCUAAUAGCCUAAUAUGAUUGCUAUGUGUUUUAUUACAGAAAGAGAUGACCAUGCGGCUAUGCAAUUGACAGUAUAUUGCCUAACUUAGCAUAUGACAUACAUACAUCAAGGGAAUUAAAUAUAGCAAAUAAGAGUUAAUAAGCUACUUUCAAGUCUCCAUCAGUAAUUAUCACUUGUUAGUAUUUUUAUAGUCAUCGCUUACACGGUUUUACGUUUAUCAUCAGGGCUGUACGCAGUGUGGGGUGAAGGGGGGCUGUGGCAAGUAGUUGCCUCUGCCCCCCACAGAAAAAAAUGAAUUUACUGAUUUUAUAUUGUUAUUAUAAUUUAAUAAUAAGCCAAAUGCCACCAAAUAUGAUCUUAUGAAUCAGAAUGUAUUCUGUAGACUUUGAAUGAAUUGGCAUUUGGGUACAUAUAUCAGCAUAUAAGUAUAACUGACCCCCUUAAAAAAUCCUGCGUAUGGCCCUGAUAAUAUUGUCACCCAAAUAGCUGUCAAUUUCCUUUUGAAUAGAACACCAUCAUAACCAUAGUAUGAGAUUUUAUUUCAUUCCAUUUUUAUUUUUUUCUGGUUGUCAUGAGUGACUCAUUGCAGCUUGUAAAAUUGUAACUAUGCAUUCACACAGUCAUUCACUUAUGUAUGUAUUGAAGUCUUUUGAAGAGCACCAUUAUUUUUAUCCAACUUGCAACAGCAGUCAUGUAAAAUAAUAUAUAUGUAAUUCUUUAUUGAUAUUGAAUAAAAGAAUAAAGGAAGGAUGCUGAAUUAAUUUUGU